rnacentral:tRNA from 1 species
UUUAUUAUUUCGGGAAAAAGUAUAAGUUGUACGGCGGGUUUGGGACUCGUCAGUCCUUGGGUCAAGGUUUCCCGU